UACGUAGGGUGCAAGCGUUGUCCGGAAUUAUUGGGCGUAAAGAGCUCGUAGGCGGUCUGUUACGUCGGCUGUGAAAACCUGGGGCUCAACCCCGGGCCUGCAGCCGAUACGGGCAGACUAGAAUUCGGUAGGGGAGACUGGAAUUCCUGGUGUAGCGGUGAAAUGCGCAGAUAUCAGGAGGAACACCGGUGGCGAAGGCGGGUCUCUGGGCCAUUACUGACGCUGAGGAGCGAAAGCGUGGGGAGCGAACAGG
rnacentral:rRNA from 1 species